GUAAUGGAAAACAAUCCUGGAAUUCUAAUAAUCGUCCCCAAUGUCAGUUGUGUGGAAAGAUCGGUCAUGUAGUUAUACAGUGUUGGUAUCGUUUUGAUGAGAAUUUUGUUCCACAAACUCAAUCUAACUCCACCAGCAAUCCUGGAAAUCCUAUGGCUGCAAUGCUUGCUACUCCUCAAUCGGUUUAUGAUACCAACUGGUAUCCUGACUCGGGAGCAACAAACCAUGUUACACCAACAAUCAGCAACCUGAUGACAUGCAUGGAUUACACUGGAAAUGAUCAAAUCCACAUGGGAAAUGGAACAGGUCAGCAAGGCAAUCCUAAUGGAAGGGAGAGUUAAGGAUGGUCUCUAUAUUUUUGAUCCACCACAGUUCACUCCAAAUAUCCUACAGCAACCUUCAAGAAGUCAAGAGUCUCAAGGAUCUUUUCUGUCAAAGUCUGUUAAUCAAUCUUGUUCAAUAAAUUCUGAGCUUGUAAACUCAAAAAUAUCCCUUUGUAAUCUGUGGCAUGACAGAUUGGGUCAUCCUUCCUUUCAAGUUGUACAAACAGUUAUGUCUAGUUGUAAUCUGCCUUCUGUCAACAAAACAAAUUUUGAUUUU